rnacentral:rRNA from 1 species
AAUCAACGCUGGCGGCGCGCUUAACACAUGCAAGUCGCACGAGAAAGGGGAGCAAUCCCUGAGUACAGUGGCGUACGGGUGAGUAACACGUGGGUAAUCUACCUCUUAGUGGGGGAUAUCUCUGGGAAACCGGAGUUAAUACCGCAUAAGUUCGGAAGAAGAAAGCGAGCAAUCGCGCUGAGAGAGGAGCCCGCGGCCGAUUAGCUAGUUGGUGGGGUAAAGGCUCACCAAGGCAGAGAUCGUAGCCGGCCUGAGAGGGCACACGGCCACACUGGCACUGAAACACGGGCCAGACUCCUACGGGAGGCAGCAGUGGGGAAUCCUGCACAAUGGGGGAAACCCUGAUGCAGCGACGCCGCGUGAGCGAUGAAGCCCUUC